rnacentral:rRNA from 1 species
GAUGAACGCUAGCGAUAGGCUUAACACAUGCAAGUCGAGGGGCAGCACAAGGUAGCUUGCUAUCUGGGUGGCGACCGGCGCACGGGUGCGUAACGCGUAUGCAACUUGCCCUAUACAGGAGGAUAACCCAUCGAAAGACGGACUAAUACUGCGUAUGCUCACAACUUGGCAUCAAGUGGUGAGGAAAGAAAUUCGGUAUAGGAUAGGCAUGCGUCCCAUUAGCUUGUUGGUGAGGUAACGGCUCACCAAGGCAACGAUGGGUAGGGGAACUGAGAGGUUUAUCCCCCACACUGGUACUGAGACACGGACCAGACUCCUACGGGAGGCAGCAGUGAGGAAUAUUGGUCAAUGGGCGCGAGCCUGAACCAGCCAAGUCGCGUGAAGGAUGACUGUCUUAUGGAUUGUAAACUUCUUUUAUACGGGAAUAACAAGAGUCACGUGUGACUCCCUGCAUGUACCGUAUGAAUAAGCAUCGGCUAACUCCGUG